rnacentral:rRNA from 1 species
UGUUUCGGCUAGGGGGCCAUCCCGGCUUACCAACCCGAUGCAAACUGCGAAUACCGGAGAAUGUUAUCACGGGAGACACACGGCGGGUGCUAACGUCCGUCGUGAAGAGGGAAACAACCCAGACCGCCAGCUAAGGUCCCAAAGUCAUGGUUAAGUGGGAAACGAUGUGGGAAGGCCCAGACAGCCAGGAUGUUGGCUUAGAAGCAGCCAUCAUUUAAAGAAAGCGUAAUAGCUCACUGGUCGAGUCGGCCUGCGCGGAAGAUGUAACGGGGCUAAACCAUGCACCGAAGCUGCGGCAGCGAACGUAUCACUUAAAGCGAUUCAGCGGGUUACGAUUGACGGAGCGAAGCGACGUCAAAGCGUAUACAAAGUCGAGUCGGUUUAAGGAUACGUUCGUUGGGUA